rnacentral:rRNA from 1 species
UAUGGAGAGGUAAUCGGAAUUCCGAGUGUAGCGGUGGAAUUGAUUAGAUAUUCGAAGAACACCCAUUGCGAAGGCGGAUUACUGGACAUUAAUUGACGCUGAGGCGCGAAAGCGUGGGGAGCAAGCAGGAUUAGAUACCCUGGUAGUCCACGCUGUAAAUGAUGGAUACUAGGUGUGCGGGGUCUGACCCCCUGCGUGCCGCAGCUAACGCAAUAAGUAUCCCACCUGGGGAGUACGAUCGCAAGGUUGAAACUCAAAGGAAUUGACGGGGGCCCGCACAAGCGGUGGAGUAUGUGGUUUAAUUCGAAGCAACGCGAAGAACCUUACCAGGGCUUGACAUGGGAGUGACCGGUGUAGAGAUACACCUUCUCUUCGGAGCACUCCACACAGGUGGUGCAUGGUUGUCGUCAGCUCGUGUCGUGAGAUGUUGGGUUAAGUCCCGCAACGAGCGCAACCCCUAUUGCUAGUUGCUACGCAAGAGCACUCUAGCGAGACUGCCGUUGACAAAACGGAGGAAGGUGGGGACGACGUCAAAUCAUCAUGCCCCUUAUGUCCUGGGCCACACACGUACUACAAUGGCGGCCAACAAAGAGAAGCGAGACCGCGAGGUGGAGCAAAUCUCAAAAAGCCGUCCCAGUUCGGAUCGCAGGCUGCAACCCGCCUGCGUGAAGUUGGAAUCGCUAGUAAUCGCAAAUCAGAAUGUUGCGGUGAAUACGUUCCCGGGCCUUGUACACACCGCCCGUCACACCAUGGGAGUGGGUUGCUCCAGAAGUGGCUAGCUUAACCUUCGGGAGAGCGGUCACCACGGAGUGAUUCAUGACUGGGGUG